rnacentral:rRNA from 1 species
CCUACGGGAGGCAGCAGUGGGGAAUUUUGGACAAUGGGCGAAAGCCUGAUCCAGCAAUGCCGCGUGCAGGAUGAAGGCCCUCGGGUUGUAAACUGCUUUUGUACGGAACGAGAAGCCUGGGGCUAAUAUCCCCGGGUCAUGACGGUACCGUAAGAAUAAGCACCGGCUAACUACGUGCCAGCAGCCGCGGUAAUACGUAGGGUGCAAGCGUUAAUCGGAAUUACUGGGCGUAAAGCGUGCGCAGGCGGUUUUGUAAGACAGUGGUGAAAUCCCCGGGCUCAACCUGGGAACUGCCAUUGUGACUGCAAGGCUAGAGUGCGGCAGAGGGGGAUGGAAUUCCGCGUGUAGCAGUGAAAUGCGUAGAUAUGCGGAGGAACACCGAUGGCGAAGGCAAUCCCCUGGGCCUGCACUGACGCUCAUGCACGAAAGCGUGGGGAGCAAACAGGAUUAGAUACCCUGGUAGUCCACGCCCUAAACGAUGUCAACUGGUUGUUGGGUCUUAACUGACUCAGUAACGAAGCUAACGCGUGAAGUUGACCGCCUGGGGAGUACGGCCGCAAGGUUGAAACUCAAAUGAAUUGACGGGG